rnacentral:lncRNA from 1 species
GGGCAUACCUACUAAAAUACUUUCAUUUAUAGCCCAUGAUUCUGGUUACAAGUACUUAAACAUAUUUACAAAGAAACACACACUCUACUGAUUCUGUGGGGUUUUAUCCAGCUGCUGUGUUUAUUGCUUUAGAAUUCAAUUUUCUUCAAAACAGAAAUUUUUGAAUAUCAUAAUUAGUGGUGAGAACAGCACAAACUAAAUGUAUACUAUCUUGUAUGUAAAAGGAUAAUGUUUAUGAAAUUCUUGUGGUUUGGCUCCUCAGGCCUUUGUAACAUUAUUCAGCUGACUUAGAGCCAAAAUAAAAUAGUUCAUAUAUUCUAGAUAAAGUUUUCUUUUAAGGAUACAGACUUAGUAUUAAUUGCUUAGCAAAUAUUUAUCAUCUUUGUAAAGGUAACAUGCAGCGAAAUAUUGAAAACCUCCAUCAUCAAGUAUUCUGUGAAAACGCUUGUACCCUGUCAUGGUUUGACAAUCCAAUUAAAUUCCUUUAAGUUUGUUUUUUCUUUUCUCUUUUUUAGAAAUUGAAUUACAGUUGAUUUACAAUGCACAGUGAUUCAAUAUAUAUAUAUAUAUAUGUAUACAUAUAUAUGUGUAUAUAUAUUCUUACAUAUGUAUAUUCUUUUUCAGAUUCUUUUCCCUUAUAGGUUAUUACAAAAUAUUGAGUAUAGCUGAGUAUAGUUCCUUGUGCAAUACAGUAGAUCUUUGUUGUAAAUUCCUUUAAAUUUCUUCUUUUUAUUUUGGAAAAUGCCUGUAAGGAUCACAUGGCUAAGUAAAAACAUGAUUUUGUUAAGGGAUUAUGGGAAAGUUUUGUUUGCUAUUUGUGUUAUUUUAACAUAGCGUCUGCAAUAGAGUAAUACAAAUAUUUCUAAUAUAUAUUUAACUGCAUGUUAAACUGAUUACCUAUAUAUGUCCUUAGGUACUGAAAUUUACACUACUCUAGCAAUAACUUAUAAUGCCACUACUCCAGUUUCACAUGACACUGCAAAUGGCAUUUUGUUUCAGAGCCUAGCAGAGCAUGGUGUCACUUGAGGGCUUGGGCGGGGCAUUUUGAGACUCGGUUUGAGGAUUCUUUGUCUGUGUGUCUGUUUAAUGUCCAGCACCUGUUCUUCCUGGAGCCUACCAGCAAAGCCAUUCUCAAGGUUAUGGGUACAUGCACCAGACCAGCCUGUCAUCUGUGAGGUCAAUGCAGCAUUCACCAAAUCUAAGGACCUACCGAGCCAUGUACGACUACAGUGCUCAGGACGAAGAUGAGGUCUCCUUCAGGGACGGCGACUACAUCGUCAACGUGCAGCCCAUCGACGACGGCUGGAUGUACGGCACGGUGCAGAGAACUGGGAAAACCGGGAUGCUGCCAGCGAAUUACAUUGAGUUUGUUAAUUAAUCAUUUCUCCUUGCCCUCCGAGCUUUGUUCUCAUCUAUACUAAGCCUAAUCUUUUUAAAAGAUAGAAGAUACUUUUAAGACACACUUGGCAGUUAUUUUACAAUAAUCUCUCUUUCCUUUGACAAUUAGACACACAGGUACCAGGAAGAAGGAAUGACUUCUAGGCUGAAAACAGCAGCAUUUUUGGUAAUUUGUAUAAACAAAAUAAUUAGGUCUGGAGACCUGGUGCUGCUAAUUGUGUUAAUGGUUUCCUUUGAUUGGCUAUUGAACCCUUCUGGGAAAAUGUAUUUUUCUAGACUUUAAUAGAGAUGUUGAUUGUCCCUUAAAUGUCACAAGUAUAGGAAACUUCUUAGCUGUCACUUUAGAAUCACCAGAAGCCAAUUCUCUUAAUUCAGUAACAAAGCCAAUAAUUUAAAAAACCAUUUAGCUUUUGAGUCAGGAGGCAAUUUUCCAGUUUAAGGGAAACUUGCCUAAAUAUAAUAAAUGUAAGCAGUGGCAGAAUGACAGUUUGGUUAAAAUUAUAUUGACUGGUGGCCUUAGGGAUCUGGAAACUUCUACCAAACAAAGAAAUUUCCUUGUUCCCUGGGCUGACUUGGGUCUAUUUAUUUCUCAUUUGUACCGAGGCGUAUCCUACUCUCCAUUUACAUUCUGUGGACCCAAGUAUAUGCUUGGCUCCAUAGAAUGUCAGGACCAAAUAACUUCACAGCUACUCUGCAAAAGGGCAAAUUUUAAGGUCAUCUAUAUUAUUUCCCUAAUACUAGUAGCCGUGACCCUGUUGCAUGUCACGUAGGUUUCAGCUUCUGUAAUAUAGGCGGCUGCACUGCCCAUUCCUGUUAGUAAAACCAAGAGCGUGGCUGAUAGCGAAAAGUCCUUUCCUCUAGCUGCCAGCUCAUCAGAAAAACAUAACUCGAAAAGUUGCUUGAGAUUCUCCUGCUGCAUUGCACUCUCGUUUUGAAGGAUUUACACCUUAGGAAAUAGAUGUAUACUUUAGCAAAUAAGUGAUUUAGAUGUUUAUUGAACAGCUUUCCUUAACUUAAUGCCGCUGCUGAUUUCAAAGUAAAGCAAAUUCCAUAGGAGCCAGUGACAAAGAGUUGGAAUAGGAAUUGUGCUGGAGGAAAUCAGAGACCACAAAGGACCAGCUCCGUACCGAGAGACAGAUGAUCUGGUUUCUUUUUGUAGAAAAUCGUACUCAGGAUCCUGGAAUGGAAAUCUCGCCCCUGAAACCAGUUAAUGAAAAGACUUCCUUUCCAUUUUCUAAAUCACAUUCAGGGAGUGAGAGGGGAGUGUGACCAGAGAUUUUCGGUACAGGACUUACCAGGCUGUUCAUUAGAAAAGAAAUGGUCACAUUUUGAUUUUUGAAUGAGUGGCUUUGCAGGCUCUUGCUGGAUUCACAGCCAUGACCAUCAUGUCAUGAAGUUUUACCUGGAGUCCACAGGUCACUGGAGAGAUUAACGCCCAUCAGCAACUCUGUGUUUUUCUGAUUGUGCCACUUUGGGGGACUUGCAACAGGGUAGCGUUCAUGUAAGGCCUGACUCUAGCGUGGUGAUGAAACUGAAAAAGCAAAGUUACAAAAAUGCAAUCAACUGUAUGGGUCUUGGGGAUAUCUGCCUUAUAGGAUAUAGUCAAAGAAAUGAACAAAAUAUCCCAUAAAAUAUCUUUGAAUGAAAUGUUUAUUAGGCCAAAGGCAAACAAACGUUAAUUCAUUUACGCCUUGGAAAAGUAAACACAUACUUUGGAAAAUCUGUAAUCUCAUUUUUAUCAGGCUAAAAGAGUAAUUAAAAAGUUUUAUUAUACUCACGCUGCAUCUACAUGACAUGGACAUAAAAUUGAAAGGAGAAAAAUCCAGGCACAUAACUAGAGAUAUUUUUGAGGGGCUUUUACGAUUACCACAUAACCAGCUUGGCUGAUUUUCUAUCAUUGAAAUGACUAGUUGUGAUUCAGUUGAUUAAACUCCACGUCUGUUUUGGUGUCUUAUACACAAACCUACAAAGACAAGCAGAACUUGCAAUAUUCUUGCAGAAAUUUCUGUGCGUUAAAAUUGAGGGCAAUAAGCUUGCUUAUUCAUUUUAUUACACCAUUAAAUAAAUAUUUACGAUUCACCCAGAUAGACCACACUUUCUUUGUGAUUAUAUAAAAGAGUAGUUGAUUAAUUUGCAGACUAAAGGUAGGACAGGUACAUUUUUUGAUAAACAGCACAUUUACAGGAAGCUUAAAGGAAACUGACUUAAAAUGAGGAUUCUAAUUAGGGAGGGAACCAUGAGAUAACAGCUUGACGUUUCAUUGUUUUUCUCAUUUAAACAUCAGAUUCACUGAAUGUACAAGUCAAUACUUAUUUGGAGAAUAGUUCUCCUAAAAUUUGAAACUUCACAUGAUGUUGGCAUAGCAAGAUGUUUCUGCUUCCAGCCUUCAGGAAUUAAGAUCUGAUCAGAAUUUACCUCGAAGGCAGUUAUCUUACAAUAAAGACUGAGCGAGAACAAAUUGUCACAUGUUCCUGAUGCUGUAAUUCAAUAGUAUUGUCACUGUCACUAAAGCCUGUCAGGAUAUUAAGCAUCUCAGUAGAAAUAUGAGAAACGAUAUAUGUAGAAAACCAAAGUGCUAUUUUUGCAGCAUCAUUUUCAAAACUACAUUCUUGAACAGCUUUCCCCCUUUCCACACAUCCCCUCUCACCUCCGAUUUGGCAACAUCCGUCACACUGACAACUCAAGAAGGGUUUAAAACAACAAAUCUUUCAAAAAUCAAGGUAACGCCCAAGCACAGGGCGCAGGCACCUGAUUUUCCGAAUGUGAUGUGUCCUCAAGCCUGACACAAGCACAAAGGCAGCUUGAUAUGCUUCUGAAAGCUUCCAAAAACAACUGUACAUGGAUCAUCUCUCUCUUGAGAAGAGCAUAGCAACAGAAUAUAUUGCUCUUGGUGUAAGGUUUUGUAGUAAACUUUUUACUUAUUCUCGUUCUCUAAGAAAGCUUUCUAUUUCUAACCUGUGGCAAGACGAACUCUUCAUGUCUUCUUGUUCUUGUUGACACAUCCGCAGCGUAGCCCAUGUUGAAAUAUUUGUCUGGUUGUCAGAUCUCUGCGCUGUCCCUGGAUCUUCUCAGGCCUCCCCCACCCCGACCCCAACCCGAGACCACACAGGAAUUUGCAAGCACAAUUCCCAGGAGCCCCUUGUUGGAACACGGAUGCGACUAGAGCAGCCCCUCUCUUGCCACUAGGUUCAUGGUCCGAGGACUGCCAGUUUUGCCAGUCUUGCUUUCGCUGGCCUCUCCGUGUGGAGCUAGACAACACUCUGGGAUCUGGGAAAAGCAGACUUUUCUAAGGCAGACAGUGGAAGUGCAAGAGGCCGCAUCUCUUUUUCAGAUUUGCCCAUCUCCAGUGGAAGGUUUUUAAUGAAAAGAUAAAGAAAAUGUGAGAUCCUUUAGUAACUUCCCCUAUAUAAAGUGGAUAUAGUUUAUACCAAAAUUAUAAUAUAGAGAUAUAAAAAAUAUAGGUGCCUUUUUGAUCACCCUUGUCUCUCCAAUAUGGUCUUGGGAAGAAAACCAAGCACGCAAGCAUCUGCCUACUCUGUAGUACUAUUUUAUUAUGUGAUCAGUAUUUUUAUGGUGGGGACAGAUGAGAUAUUCCUGACAGAUAUGAAAGGUGAUAGCUGAUUAUAUUUUACCUCUAAAGCUUUGGAACUUUAGAAAAUACUGACUUCUUCCAUUUAUUUCUGAAAGGCUCUCUGUGGAUUUAUAUAUUGUUGAGCUGCAUAAACGUUAACCUUAGGUCUGAGAUUUAAAACACCUAUUAUAAGAUAGAAGAAUUAUGUUAUAAGGCUGAAUUCGUGACCCAAGAUGAAGUUCACUUCAAAAAUCCAUUAUACCAUAGCUAUUUGCUUCUGAUCAUCUGAAAAUGGCUAGCGUGGGUUGUUUGGGUGGCAUGGAGGUGAGAAAGCUUUAGUUAAUAAGAAGCUCUGUAAACCAAGUGAAGAAUGCUAACAGGAACGUCUCUUUCCGAAGUAUUCCGUGCCCAUUAGGGUUCUUUCCAGGCAACUGUCAAUUAGUGGUGAUGAAAACCACAAAGGCAAUUGUGUGAUGCUUCUGUGGAAUCCACAAGCCUGGAAGGAUCCCUAGGGCACCGUCUCCUCCCUAGUCGUCCGGGUUACUUCAGUAUAGUCACAGGAAUUCCAUGUGCUUUUGUGUUUGAUAUGUGGUAUCCAGUUUGCAUAGUAUAUACUUCUCUGUGAUGCAGCUGCUGUUAAGGAUGAUUUUCUUGAAAGGAAAAGAGAGAACUGCAUCAUGGUCCCAUUCUUCUGUGUCCAUAUGACGAACGGCUGAGCACUUAGAAGCAGCACUGCGUGUAUCACAGGCCAGGGGUGUGGAACUGUUGGUCUUAGACCUGCGGUAAAAAUGCAAAAUUGGAUCAUUGUGAAGACUGGCCUCUCUUUGCUUCAAAAUAUGUAGACUUGUGAUUGAUGAUUCAUUUGCAGGAUUGUUCUAACUAUGAGAGCGUUAAGAAACACAUCAUGGUUUUAAAAUGAAGGGGCUUACAGAACGAUGCAAUGUUAUAAAUAUAAUUUGGCUUUUGUUAUGCAAAUUGUUAACACCAGCUAUUAAAAUAUAUUUUAGUAGAAAUGCUUUAAUUCAUGUUUUUUUCCUCUACACUGUGAAUCUUUAAGCCUUGGUGGACUAGAGCAACAUUGUGCUGCCCAAAGGACUAACCUAUGCAACUAGUUCACAUUUUAGUGGAUGUCACAGUAAUUGUGUAAUGAGACAUUCUUUCCCUCCCGCGAUGGACAGCAGCAUUGAAAUAACACGUUAAGCCUAGCCUCAUGUAUGUAUAGUACAGUUACUCACAAACCCUUCAAGGCUACCAUAACCACUAGCACUAUCCGUCGUAUAAAAGCAGAUCACUGAUUUAUCUAUGAAAAAGACUUGAAUGAUGUCAGAACAAGAACGACAGAUGAAUGCGUCGGCCGUGGCUUCCAUGUGGUCACUGAAAGUUGUUCCCUGUGAUGGAAGCGUGUUCUCAGAUGCACUCUCUCCAGGGUAUUAUUAUUCUGUGUCUUUCUUUCUGUAUUUGUAAAACAUUAUAAUGCUUUAAUUUCCUAUCUCUACACAUUCGGUUUGCUUAAAUAAAUGCAGGAUAUAACAAAAUGGUCCCACUUCUUGGUUCUCACCUUGGUUUCUUGGAGCAUGGGUCCUUGACAAUAACCUGGGUAUGGGUUUAUCCUGACAACUCAGGUGAGAUCGCCUGGGAGGUGUACGCUGGCUUCAAUGCACUUAAAUUGGUAAGUCAUUCAAAAUGAGUCUUCCUCCUCCAAAUAAACUUAGUUUUAAAUGAUAACAGUAUUAUUUUUUUUCAAGCUCCGUCUCUUUCUGAUUUUGUCACAGUACUAGAGUAAUACAUCACUGUCAUUUACUUCUUUCAAGAUUAAAUCCCUCAUAUAUCCUCAAUAGUACAAUUUUAAUUGUCUUGUAUUUGUAAGAUGAAAGAAACAGCUUGCAGCAAAAAAUAGCAACUGCACAAAUUGAAUGCAUGAAACAGGGAGAUGCUCUGAUUUCCCAGCUACGAAUGGCUCGUUUAUCAUAGAGCAUAAUGCUUUUUUUUCCCCUAAUUUUCCCAUAGUUGGAAAAAGUGAGUUAGUCCCUGUUUUUGCCCUAAGAUAAAUCUACUGAGACUAGACUCUUAGCCUUAUUGUAUGAUUUUGUAAAAGUUCUUCUUUGAUGGUGCUUAAACCCUCUUAAUUGUAAACCGAUAAACUCUGCUGAUGACAUAUUUAGCGCACUCACUCAUAGAAUAAACAUUUCGUCCUAGUCU